rnacentral:rRNA from 1 species
UUCCGAAUGGGGAAACCCAGUGUGUUUCGACACACUAUCAUUAACUGAAUCCAUAGGUUAAUGAGGCGAACCGGGGGAACUGAAACAUCUAAGUACCCCGAGGAAAAGAAAUCAACCGAGAUUCCCCCAGUAGCGGCGAGCGAACGGGGAGCAGCCCAGAGCCUGAAUCAGUGUGUGUGUUAGUGGAAGCGUCUGGAAAGGCGCGCGAUACAGGGUGACAGCCCCGUACACAAAAAUGCACAUGCUGUGAGCUCGAUGAGUAGGGCGGGACACGUGGUAUCCUGUCUGAAUAUGGGGGGACCAUCCUCCAAGGCUAAAUACUCCUGACUGACCGAUAGUGAACCAGUACCGUGAGGGAAAGGCGAAAAGAACCCCGGCGAGGGGAGUGAAAAAGAACCUGAAACCGUGUACGUACAAGCAGUGGGAGCACGCUUAGGCGUGUGACUGCGUACCUUUUGUAUAAUGGGUCAGCGACUUAUAUUCUGUAGCAAGGUUAACCGAAUAGGGGAGCCGAAGGGAAACCGAGUCUUAACUGGGCGUUAAGUUGCAGGGUAUAGACCCGAAACCCGGUGAUCUAGCCAUGGGCAGGUUGAAGGUUGGGUAACACUAACUGGAGGACCGAACCGACUAAUGUUGAAAAAUUAGCGGAUGACUUGUGGCUGGGGGUGAAAGGCCAAUCAAACCGGGAGAUAGCUGGUUCUCCCCGAAAGCUAUUUAGGUAGCGCCUCGUGAAUUCAUCUCCGGGGGUAGAGCACUGUUUCGGCAAGGGGGUCAUCCCGACUUACCAACCCGAUGCAAACUGCGAAUACCGGAGAAUGUUAUCACGGGAGACACACGGCGGGUGCUAACGUCCGUCGUGAAGAGGGAAACAACCCAGACCGCCAGCUAAGGUCCCAAAGUCAUGGUUAAGUGGGAAACGAUGUGGGAAGGCCCAGACAGCCAGGAUGUUGGCUUAGAAGCAGCCAUCAUUUAAAGAAAGCGUAAUAGCUCACUGGUCGAGUCGGCCUGCGCGGAAGAUGUAACGGGGCUAAACCAUGCACCGAAGCUGCGGCAGCGACGCUUAUGCGUUGUUGGGUAGGGGAGCGUUCUGUAAGCCUGUGAAGGUGUGCUGUGAGGCAUGCUGGAGGUAUCAGAAGUGCGAAUGCUGACAUAAGUAACGAUAAAGCGGGUG